ACAAUAACUAGGUUAAGCCUGCUCAAACAAUGAAUUCAAAAACUAAAAAAAAUUAUUCCUUUUGGGGCCUUAAAAUUUUUGGGCCUAAAUAAAAGGCUUUACUGGCCUCAACAAAAUCAAGAAAAAUUACAAAAAAUUUAGAGAUUCAAUCAAAAUAAAAUAGCCAAAAGUAAGAACAAAGACACAAAUAAGAGGCAAGCAAA
rnacentral:lncRNA from 1 species